rnacentral:rRNA from 1 species
UGCGUAGGCGGCUUUUUAAGUCAGGGGUGAAAGACGGUAGCUCAACUAUCGCAGUGCCCUUGAUACUGAAGAGCUUGAAUGAACUAGAGGUAGGCGGAAUGUGACAAGUAGCGGUGAAAUGCAUAGAUAUGUCACAGAACACCGAUUGCGAAGGCAGCUUACUAUGGUUUAAUUGACGCUGAGGCACGAAAGCGUGGGGAUCAAACAGGAUUAGAUACCCUGGUAGUCCACGCCCUAAACGAUGAAUACUCGCUGUUAGCGAUACACAGUUAGCGGCUAAGCGAAAGCGUUAAGUAUUCCACCUGGGGAGUACGGUCGCAAGAUUGAA